CAGAAAAGAAAUGGACAGAAACAUUGGAAAAAGUCAGAUUCAAUAUUCUUGUUUCAUAUUGUUGACAUACUAGAGUCAAAGGUUUUUACAGAGAGAAUUUUUGAUAUCUCUUUUUAUCACUCCAUAAAUCAUAAAAUACUGUCAACAGGCAU